rnacentral:sRNA from 1 species
CCAGCCCCCCUCGUGAUAUCUUAAUCAAAUCAUGAACCCUUCUCUCUCAGCUCACGUCUCUACCCUGCUUCCUGUUUACUUCCUGGACUCACUACAAGUAUCAGCUCUUCAUCCUAGUCUGUUCUGUUGGGAACUCGAGGCCUGCCACUUGCUGCAGGUUAUGGAGUUCCUAAGUGUCUAUUCUGAGCAUCUAUUGCUGUGUAAUGACCUGCCACACAAUCUGGUGGCUUCCGGUAGCCUUAUUUAUCACCCUGCUUCUGUAGGUUGACUGGGUUUGACUGGGUGAUUUUUUGGGGAGGGAGAGGGGAGUCCAACACAUAGGUAGAUGUCUGGGGAUAGAGGCGUCUGCAGGCUCUACUGUACUGAUUGUCCGAACAGCCAGGAGUUCAAGGUCAAGAGGUAGGACACAAGCCGGCUAAAGGAUUCUUUUGGAUUAGCAUAGAGUCACUUCUACCACAUUCUAGUAAAAACAGUACUUUCAGGCUCUCUCGGUAGGAGAGGUGGAGAAAUGAAUCAUGUUAUGGUUUGAAUAGGACAGGCCAGAUAAGCUCUUGUUCCCAGAUCGUGGUAACAAAUUCAAGACGUGGGGCCUAGCCAGAGGAGCAGGCUGAUGAGGGCAGGUCCUUAACCCCCUCCUAUCUGUCUCUGUGCUGACGGAUUGGCCUUUGCAAGCAGCUUUGCUCCUUUAAGCUCUUGCUACCACACUGCCCUAGUUCACUACCAGUCCACAGUGAUGGAGCAAGCUGGCCAUGCACUGACAGCAGGAACCCAAAUACCGUGCAGGGACAGGAUGCAAACCUGGUCAGUGUGGUUUGAGAAAUCCUAAUUGUAACCUCCAUUUUGCCUCUACGGAAGAUAAAUAAGAAGUCUGGUCAUUUCUAGAGGACCAGAGGGUGAGCUGAAAAGGAUGGAAAAUGUUAUCAGGAUCCCAAGUUUAAGUCCAGACUGAUGUGGCCCCAAGUGAUCUCAGAUGUAGAGUUGGCAGCCUUGACAGGGGCCUGGAAAAUGCAGUGAGGCUGGCAAGAUGGCGCCGAAGUAAAGGUGCUUGCCUUAGCCAACCUGGUUGACUGGGUUUGAUCACUGGCGAGUACAUUGUGGAAGGAGAGAACUGAUUCCCCAAAGUUUUCCUCUGACUUCCGUAUGUGUAUUGUCAGGGUUAGCCUGGGCAACUCAGUGAGCCUUGGUCUCGAAAGAAAAGGUAAAAUGAGGGUUGAGUGUGUAACUCAGCCAGUGUCCUUGCCUAGGGUCAAUCUCCAGUAUUAAAAAACAAAAAUUUCUCUGGAGAUACAUUGAAGGAUUUUGAGUCCGAAAAUUAUUCUAGAUUACCAAGAUAGCCCAAAGAUGCCAAUUAAAAGUGUCCUUGUAGGAGAGAGUCAUGGAAACACACCUCACACAGGAGAAGAUGUGACAAGGCAGAGUGAUUGGAAGGUACUGCCCUUGGAGAGAUGUGGCCAUAAGCCAGGGAAUGCCAGAGACCACCAGAAGAAGCACAGACUCUCCCCUGGAGCCUCCCUGGACACAUUGAUUUUUGGUCCCAUUACAUAGAUUUCAUCUAUACCUGGGUUUGAAAAUAAUCACUAAAUUGAUUUCAUCUAUACCUGUGGCUUCAAGAAUCCCACUUUGUGGCAACUUACAAUAGCUCCCACCAGCUAGGAUCAAUCCAUUUCAGACAGUGUUGGAGAACGGGUUGUAAACUUGUUAGUCCAGCUGGCAUUAAACAAAGGCUUAGCAAAAUCCCAGAGUGCAAUUGUGUGUCUAGGGGACAAGUGACAGGUUGCACAAGUGUCACGAGUAUUUGACAUCAGGGAGCCUAUGUCGAGAGUUCGAGGAGUCUCUUGGUUCUUGUGGAGUCAGUCUACUGAGAAACACCAGACGGCUUAAGGGUUACCUCCGCAAAGAUCCAAGGUUCAGUGAACUUUCAAGAUGAAGGUGGUUGAGAACCACCCUUCCCCCCAGUAUCUUUUUUUCAUCUUUAUUAUGUUAUUAUGUUAACUAUACAUUUAACACAGCCUUGGAGGGCCAAGAGGACACAAAAGGUGUUGGAUAGGCUGGCCUUUAAGGAUGAGGCCUCUAAAGUCAAACCAUCAGGGAAGCUGGAUUUUAACAUGCCUUUCAUCUCAGAGUCUGGCUGGUUGGUGCCUGGUGUGAAGUGGAACUCAGAUACGAACUCGGAGCAGCAGUGGGUUUUGUAAGGGGAAUAGAACUUAGUGUUUCGUGGGUAGGCAGUGUCUGGGGAGGAAUGGUUCUCAGGUACUCCAAUCUGGCCAGAGCUGGCCUGCUUUGUUUAACUUUUUAAACAACCCCUCUGGGGUUCAAAUGAGUGACAGAAGAAAGGAAGGAGGAAGGAAGGUGAAGAUGUCAGAACAGUGGUGGGUGGCGGCUGGGGAAGGAGCGUAGAGCCUCUGCAUGCUUCUCUAUGUCCACUCUUUGUGAGCAGGAGCAGCUCUGGGUCUUACUUCCAGAAUAUUAACCAUUUAAUGCCACGGCACAAAUCAUGCUGGUCAAUGAACCCAGGCCCCAAAGCAGGUCAAUUAAUUCUAAUUACAUUCAUUUACAUUCAUUUAUUUUGUGUUUGGCAUGGGGCUUGGGAUGUAUGUGGAGGUUGGAGGACAGCUUGCCAGAGUCCGUUUUCUUCUUCCCUCGAGCGGUUCAUCAGGAUUGAACCCAGAUUGUCUCCCAAACUCCAGAAACUGUUUAGAGUCUCUUAGUUUCUGCAGGUCAAGAGCCUGGGAUUAGUUUAUUUUAGUCCUGGCUCUGAGCUUGUGGACUGCAGGAUGUAACCAUGUACCCUAUGCACUGUCCCCCUGCGCGCAUGCGCGCGCACGUGCACACACACACACACACACACACACACACACACGCACAUGCACACACACACGCACAGGUACAUGCACCCCAUCCAGGGCUCCAUUGAAGUCAUAGGACCAGUUUCCAAAAUGGCUCCCUCCAUGGAUGGUGAAUCCAUGGUGACUGUUGGCAGAAAAUCUCCACGUUUUAUUCCUAGACCUGUCUACUGAAUAGUUGUCAACUCUCUCAAGUGAAUGAUCCCAGAGAGUGAGGCAGAAACCACCGUGUCCUUUAUGAGCAGGACACUUUCUGCCAUUCCUACAACAGAUUGUACAGGUGAGCUCCGUUCAGCAGAGGAGGGAACUCCCCUGGGUCCACCUUCCCGGAGGUAGGGUGUACCACCACAGGCUGGCCGUCUCUAGAACAGUGGAAAGGGCUGUCCUGUGGCUAUCGGAUCAGCAUGAACAGGAGCUGGCCGUACUGAAGAAAUCUGCUGCGGUCAGGUGGGCCAAGGUCUGGCUCCAGCCAAGGGACGGAGAGAGCCUGCCAUCCCUCCAUGAUGUCCAUGCAGCUUCCGCCCACGCUGGCAGGGAGUGGAGGCCUCCUUUGGGCACUGCUGGAUCCUGUUACACUGUCACAGAGCAAGACAAGAACUGUGGAGCCCGUGGCAGGAGACAAUGGCCUCCAUUGAGGAAUUAUGACGUAAAGGAACCAGCAAGCCCACAGCCGCCAUUCAGGAAACAAUGGUUGUUUCAAGAGGGCCCAGGGGUGCUCCCAGGAGAGGCAAAGACGCACCUCAGCGGCCUGGAGAAAAAUCUCCCCUGGACCUGUCUGAAAAGCUCCUGUCUUGACACCUCAUGAUGCCAUAUCUUAAGAACUUUAUGUGAAUCCAGCCAUUUAUUUGUCAGCCGGGGUAAUGGGGUAUUCUUUGUUCUUGGACUUGAGCAGAGCUCCCAUCUGAACCCCAUGGUCUGGCUGUGUUGUUGUCUUAUGUUGUUAUGAGUGAGAACACAGUCCUGCAAUCAUGUCUGACAGUCAGAACAGGGAGGGGAGGAGGCCCCCUCUUCAGGACAUUAGCGGACAGCCACCAGCCACUGGGUCUGAUCUUUGCCUCUCCAGUUAGGUAGAUGUGGGGAUUCCUGAUGGUAAUAUGGAGAAAAGGCUUGUGGUGAUCUGGGGCUCAAGGAUCAGUUCACUCUGAAAGGCCACCUGGAGUGCCACCUGGAGAUUCUGUGAUGUCAGCAGUUCAGGUGAGCAGAGACAGCUAUUCUGAUCUGAACUUAGCCACUUACGAAGGGUGUGACCUUUCAAGGCAGUGUACGUCUUUGUUCGAGGGCUGGCUGGCAUUUCUGUGGAUGUAUCCCCUUCCAGCAAUCCUUUUGGGGAAACGCCUGCCUUCCUCCUUCCUUUAUACAAUCAGUGAGGACAUUGCAGGACUCCGGGUGGAGUUUUGGGGAACACACGAACCGACAUUAUACUCCAUACUUUUAUUUACUUAAAUGAGGCCAGAAACAGCAACAUGUCAGUGGACAAAGAGAAUCCCAUGAUUAAAAUCAAAUUCUAAUUGCAGAGUGAACUUUGCCUUUUGAAGGGACACAGUCGAUGAUAUUUGUAAAAAGAAUAGCACUCGUAAACCUGUGCAAACCGCUUCCCCCCAAUUCCACUCACCUGGUGAUUUCUAACUGGAGGGUAACCUCUCAGAGCAUCCGUGCUAGAGAUGUCCCAUUUGCACCUGGGCUUUGCCUGGUCCCCCAUCUAUUCAGCUUAGUGUCUUGGGAUGCUGGAUCCUAGAGCCUGCAUCCGUGGAUGUUGUUUUAGGUCCUCAUAGAUAGUACCUCGAGGACAGGAAGAGUCAGGAUGUCUCCCUCUCCAUAAGCUCUUCCUUUCUGGGCCCCUGGGUCCAUCUCCUGCCCAAGGUUACAAUUUAGUUUUUAAGGUCUCAUAGUUGUUCCCUCACCUUUGGGAGUGGUCUCCUAAUGUUGCUGGCCACGGGAGGAGCUUUAUAUGACCUUAUAAGUUGACCUGCGUCUUUGUAUACAGUCUCUAUCAAACUCUUCUCAGGCCGCCCAGGGGGUGUGCCGUUUGCAUUCCCAGUGCUGGUCCACUUAAUAUUUAAGUCUUAUUUUGAACAGGGUCUUUUAACUCUCUGCGUUAUUCCUUUCUUUCUUUCUUUCUUUUUUUUUUUUGAAGGCCCCAAGGAAAACUUGAAGCUGCACAAGAAUUGCUGCUGUUUGAACUUGAAAGCCCAGAGCUGGCCUUUGGGGCAGGGGGCAGAUUGGCUUUGUGUUUUCCUUCAGAACAAAAAUCAACUGAGUUUUAAAAGCCUGGCCUGUGGGAACAACUGAGGAUGCUUUGAUCCCCGAGGGGACCAUCAUAGACCGCUCAGAAUAAAUUCAAACUUAUUUCUAGAGGGGAAAGGAAGAGGAAGGUGAGGGGUAGGGAAAGAAGAUGAAUUAUCUGUUCCUGCUGCGAACCUCAGAUAGCCUGAUUGGCAGGGUAUGGUGGUGCAUACCACAGAGGCUGGGACAUCGAUGUGAACUCAAGGCUGGCCUGGUCCACAUAGUGAGUCCAGGUCAGCCACAGCUAUAUAGUGAGACAUUGUCUCAAACUACAACAAUGAUAACAAAACCACCAGGUCAAAGAGUGUAUGACAGCAACUUUCCUGCUUCCUGAGGAAUACUAGAAGACUCUAGGGAAAUAACUUAGGCUCCUAAUUCCAGAGAGAGUAACUAAGGAGAUAUCCCAGGUUAAGGGACAAGCCAAUGGAACAGAUACAGGUAGCAAGUUCAGUGGAAUGCUACAGAGUUGCUUAUAGUGGAAGGAACUAUGUGUAGACAAGUGCCCAUGAUGAGGAGAGUUUGAAUGUGUCUGCUUAAUUUAGGCAUUCGAAACUAGCCCCAGUGUAUCUGUGUUGGAGGUUGAGAGCUCUGCCCUCACGGUGGUUUAACAUAGCUUGGGGGUGGGUUUGCUGUCUCCAGAAUGAGUUGUAAAGUCGAGUUCAGCCCCUUCUUGUUCUCACCCUUUCGUCCCCUUCCACCUUCUGCCAUGGGCGGAUGCAGCCGCUGCCAGCUGUUACUUCAGCUCCCCACCCUUCAGAAUCAUGAAUUAAAAUGUCUGUUGGGAAUAAAUUACCCAGAUUUUCAAAUUCUCUUAUAGGGGCAGAAGACAGGCUAAGAGACAAUAAAAACUGGCUGCAGGGUAAGCGUGUGCCUGGUUUUGUGGAAAUCGACUCACCUGUAUUUAUUUAGUAUGUAAAAUCCCUGCUGCUUGGGUGAGCCAUAAGGCUAUGUGGGAGGUUUAGCAGAGAUGUGGGACAAAAAGAAGCAGCCAUGACACAUGCCUUCAUGCUUUAUUGUCAGGAGCCCAGAGCCUCUUGAACCCUGCCCCUAUCUCUGGGCUGGUAAGAAGAGGGGAUUAGUUAUGUGACUGUCCCAGAAUGCUUGGUUCACUGUCAUCACCCUCAUUUUCCACAUACAAAAACAGCUGGGAUGACAUGGUUGUCUAGGUCCACAACUGAACAGUCGCCCUUGGCUGGCAUGAGGUAAGAGCCAGGAGUAUUUGCUUAGAUCCACCAGGCUGCCAACAGUGCGGGCCAUGUGAGGAGAUCAGAACAACUCAACUACACAGGCAAUCUAUAUGGAGGGACUGCUCCAGCUGAGUGGGACCCAAGGGUCUUGAGGCCCUCUUCCUGAAGGGCUCACACAUGAGUUUCCGGCAACUGGUCAGAGGGGCAAUCUGCAGAGGUCACUGCAUGGAGCCUCCACCAGACCUGUGAUGAGGGAGGAAGAAACAGGGUGUAUGUGGUGGAUAGCACUCUCCUUCUCCACUCCAUCUUCUAUCAUUGUCUCCUGUUGGUUAGAUCCAGUGAGAGAGGAGAACUGAGAAGCUAGUCCAUUGCAUCUCUACUUGGGUCCUUGUUGUGGUUUGUCCUGAAGUUAUCUGUAUUUGGAUGCUAAUUCCACUGCCCCAAGGACAGCUGCCU